rnacentral:tRNA from 1 species
GCCGAAGUGGCGGAACUGGCAGACGCGCCAUCUUGAGGGGGUGGUGCCUUCCGGGCGUGCGGGUUCGACUCCCGCCUUCGGCA